rnacentral:rRNA from 1 species
GACGAACGCUGGCGGCGUGCUUAACACAUGCAAGUCGAACGGAAAGGCCCUGCUUUUGUGGGGUGCUCGAGUGGCGAACGGGUGAGUAACACGUGAGUAACCUGCCCUUGACUUUGGGAUAACUUCAGGAAACUGGGGCUAAUACCGGAUAGGAGCUCCUGCUGCAUGGUGGGGGUUGGAAAGUUUCGGCGGUUGGGGAUGGACUCGCGGCUUAUCAGCUUGUUGGUGGGUAGUGGCUUACCAAGGCUUUGACGGGUAGCCGGCCUGAGAGGGUGACCGGCCACAUUGGGACUGAGAUACGGCCCAGACUCCUACGGGAGGCAGAAGUGGGGAAUAUUGCACAAUGGGCGGAAGCCUGAUGCAGCAACGCCGCGUGCGGGAUGACGGCCUUCGGGUUGUAAACCGCUUUCGCCUGUGACGAAGCGUGAGUGACGGUAAUGGGUAAAGAAGCACCGGCUAACUACGUG